rnacentral:rRNA from 1 species
GACGAACGCUGGCGGCGUGCUUAACACAUGCAAGUCGAACGGAAAGGCGCUGCUUUUGUGGGUUGCUUGAGUGGCGAACGGGUGAGUAACACGUGAGUAACCUGCCCUUGACUUUGGGAUAACUUCAGGAAACUGGGGCUAAUAUCGGAUAGGAUCUCCUGCUGCAUGGGGGUGGUUGGAGAGUUUCGGCGGUUGGGGAUGUACUCGCGGCAUAUCAGCUUGUUGGUGGGGUAGUUGCUUACCAAGGCUUUGACGGGUAGGCGGCCUGAGAGGGUGACCGGCCACAUUGGGACUGAGAGACGGCCCAGACGCAUACGGGCGGCAGCAGGGGGGAAUAUUGCGCAAUGGGCGGAAGCCUGAUGCAGAAACGCCGCGUGCGGGAUGACGGCCUUCGGGUUGUAAACCGCUUUCGACUGUGACGAAGCGUGAGUGACGGUAAUGAGUAAAGAAGCACCGGCUAACUACGUG